rnacentral:lncRNA from 1 species
CUUAAACUGAAGAAGCUUCAACCAACCAGCUGGAAUCUAAUCCUCAGCUCUUCUAUUCCAUUUAAGGAACGCCAUGAAGCUGUUGUACGGCGCACAAUGGAAAGGAGCCAGAAGCCAAAACAGAAGCAUAACCGUUGGUCGUGGGGAGGCUCUCUCCAUGGGAGCCCUAGCAUCCACAGUGCAGAUCCAGACAGGCGGUCAGUUUCCACCAUGAAUCUUUCGAAACAUGUUGAUCCCGUCAUUAGCAAGCGGCUCUCCUCCUCAUCUGCAACUUUACUAAAUUCUCCAGAUAGAGCUCGCCGUCUGCAGCUCAGCCCAUGGGAGAGCAGCGUUGUUAACAGACUCCUGACGCCCACACAUUCGUUCCUGGCCAGAAGUAAAAGCACAGCUGCCUUGUCUGGAGAAGCAGUUAUCCCCAUUUGUCCUCGUUCAGCAUCUUGCAGCCCCAUCAUCAUACCCUACAAAGCUGCACACUCUAGAAAUUCGAUGGAUCGACCAAAACUCUUUGUAACACCACCUGAGGGCUCUUCUCGCAGGAGGACCAUUCAUGGCAUAGCGGUGAGUAGCUGUUGGGAGCAGCUGGGCAAGUCUGGGAGCCAGUGCUGUUCCUGUGCAGACUGGACACAACCCUGAGGCAUGGUGUGGGCCUAAGAGGGGGAGACCGCGACAUCCACCAUCCCAUCUCUCCCAUUGAUCAUGAAUCUGGCUGGCUGGGCAGCAGUGUCCCCUUACUUCCUCUUCACUUGGGGAUUUUGCUCUCCCUAAACAUUUGAAUUUGAAGACAAAAGCUGUUCUUUGUUCAAGCAUAUAUGAGUGGAUGCCCUACCCUGCUGGAGCAUCCAUACACAUAAGUGCAAUGCCAGAAUACUUUCAUUUUUGAAAGUAGGAAAACCAAAUGGCCUUUGAAGGGGAAGUGGGCUUGGACCGCUGCCUUGGCAUUUUAUUCCAACCAUAUCCAGAAGCUGGCUGAACUCUAAAUGUGAUUCACUCAAAAGCAAGAUAAAGAAUUUUUAUCCUGCUUGACUAAUCCCUGUCAAGG